rnacentral:rRNA from 1 species
GGAGUUAGCCGGUGCUUCUUCUGUGAGUGAUGUCCUUCCUGCCGGCUAUUAACCCGCAGGCCUUCUUCCUCACUGAAAGUGCUUUACAACCCGAAGGCCUUCUUCACACACGCGGCAUGGCUGGAUCAGGGUUGCCCCCAUUGUCCAAUAUUCCCCACUGCUGCCUCCCGUAGGAGUCUGGGCCGUGUCUCAGUCCCAGUGUGGCUGAUCAUCCUCUCAGACCAGCUACGGAUCGUCGCCUUGGUGAGCCGUUACCUCACCAACCAGCUAAUCCGACAUAGGCUCAUCCGAUAGCGCGAGGCCCGAAGGUCCCCCGCUUUCCCCCGUAGGGCGUAUGCGGUAUUAGCCUGGGUUUCCCCAGGUUAUCCCCCACUACCGGGCAGAUUCCUAUGCAUUACUCACCCGUCCGCCGCUCGCCACCAGGGAGCAAGCUCCCCGUGCUGCCGCUCGACUUGCAUGUGUUAGGCCUGCCGCCAGCGUUCAAUCUGAGCCAGGAUCAAACUCUGA